rnacentral:lncRNA from 1 species
GUGGGCACCGUGCGCUGCUCGAGCUUGCAGGAAAGCCUGUCUCUCCGAGUGUGGCUGGGGAGGGGGCUGGGUUUCUUUUUGUUUCUAGAAGUCCCCUUCACCCUCGUUUGCCCCCGCGUACCGCCGAGAGGAUCGCGUGGAAUGGCUGCAGGGCUCCAGGGCGCACCCCACCCCACGCACGCCCUCUGGGGCGCCAGAAGGCGCGGCCCCGGGGGGAUCCCUGUUCCCAGGAGGAAGCGCGGUUUCAGGCUGGCCUUGAACUUACAGGGAUUCACCUGCCUCUGCCUCCCAGAUGCUGAGAUUAAAGGCAUGUGCCAUCACCACCUGAACAACAGCAGCUUUCUAAGGAACCAGUAAGGCACUACAGACUUUUCAUAUAACAUCACCUUCAUUCUCUCACAACUAAUUCUACAAAACAGAUGUUAUACGACCUCGUUCGCUGAAGUCAAAGAUGCAGAGGGGCCAAGGUGUGGGCUCCGGACCUCACACCAGUGUGGCAGAUUCAACAAGCCCAGAAUAAGCCUCUUCCUUUGCUCACAAUAAGAUUAAGCCAACUGCCUCUUCAUUCCUCAGUCACACUCCUCCUCUGACCCUGCUCCAGGAGGCUCAUCUUGUCAGACUUCACACUGAAUGAGCGCUGAGGAUGCUGUAGAGUAUGAGCUGUGUGCAGGUUUCAAAAGCAAUUUGUGCCCCUGAAACAAGCCAACCAGCAGAGAAGGAACAAAAGAAACAUGGUGUCUUCUACCUCCAGCCUUGAAGCUUCCAGACCUCCCUACACGAACCCCCCCCCCACACCCACUCCCCGAAAUGAUGUCCCAGUGAAGAGCCAGGCUCUUAUCCUUCCAUCCAUGCCUCUCAGGCGUCUGCUUCAUUUAGCAUGUAUGUGCAUUUUACCAGGUUAAUGCAACACAGACUAUUUCCUAGUAGCUGUGAAGCCCAGUGUAGCCUCUGCUGCCGGACACAUGGUUUGUCUCCAGUCUUUCCCUUCCCAGCAAAGCAGCCUUGACUCAUCUCCUUUCUCUAUGACAGAGCCCUUUAGAAUGUACUCACUGGGCCAACGAUGCAGUUUCAAUUUGGGUUUUUAAUGGAAGUGGGUGGCUAGGUAAGUGGGUUGAAUGACUGACUGAUUCUGAAUAGCUCUGAAUUUAUUGAGCUGCUUCCAGGAAGGUCCAGGUGACCUGGGUAGCAGAAAGGACACCCAUUCCUGUUUGAUGGUGUUUUUUUUCUAUCUAUCAUCCUUCCUGUCUUUCCUUCUUUAUUUCUUUCUGGGUGAGACAGGGUCUUAUAAUACAGUUUCAGCCAGCCUGGAACUCAUUAUGUAAACCAGGCUGGUCUCCAGCUCAUGGAGAUGAGCCUGCCUUUGCUUCCCAUGUACUGAAAUUAAAGCCCAGCUUGUUUUUUUCUCUUUACCACACUGGGGAUUCAACCCAAGGCUAGUAAGCACCCUGGCACUGAGUAUAUUCUGGACCUCUUCUUAUUUUAAUGUUGAUGUAGGGUCCUGCUAAGUUUCCCAGACUGACCUUCAACUCACUAUGCAAGUCCAGGCAGGCCUUGAACUCACGAUCCUCCUGGUUCAGCUUCCUGAGCUGAUGAGUGGCAGGCACCAUUAGUCUCAUUCGGAAGGAUGUGCUUCAUCCUUGGUGAAAGCGCUCAUCUCUUGUCUUGGCUGGCUAGAAUUUCCAGGGUGAAGAAAGGAGGAUUAGAAAAGUUCAAGGUCACCCUCCCCUACAUAGAGAGUUCAAGGCCAGGCUGGGCCACAUGAGAAAAACCAAAAGAACAGAUGGUGUUAGCAGGAGGUAGGGAAGGAGUAGGGAGGUCCAGCCCUGGGUGGGGCAGAGCCCCUGCUAAAGACAAGGGACAUUCCUUAGUGUCAACUUUCCCUUAGGAUGGAGAGGAGGGGUUGCUAGCUCGUCACACCCCACAGCCCUGGAGGACAGGAGCUUACUGUUGAGUUAGUGGGGCAGAGUCGGGGAGAGGCUGUCAUUUCGGCAGCCCUGGUACAUGGAGCCACUAGCAGGCUUCUUCGUCUCAUGUCUUCAUCCGCACCACCUCCUAGCAGCCUGCCCUCCCCAACUUGUCCACUUAAAGCCUGGGCCAGUGAGAUGACUCUGCAGAUAAAGGUAUUGUCACCCAGCCUGAGGACCUGAGUUCAAUUUCUGGGUUCCAUAUGAUGGAAGGAGAGAACUGAGUCCCUUAACUUGAUCUCUAACCUGCACAUGUGGAUUGUGAAUGGGCUUAUGUGCCCACACACCCUCUCUCUCACACAAUAAACAUAAGUAAUAAAUGUAUACAUGCAUAUACACAUACAUAAUACACACAUACAUACAUGCUUGAAUGCAUACAUACGUUCGUAUGUAUGUCCUUGCCACUCUCUUGGAACCUGACUCCUACAGAAUGUAACCUUGAUUUGUGCUCCAGGCUCACUUGACACCUGGCUUCUGUGGCUUGUUCGAGUCCUCUGUCUCCCAGACAAUGAGCUAGGAUUCUGGUCAUUCAGGUUCAGCCUGGGUGCAGAGAGUUUUGAGUGGGCCUGUCCACUGGAGACCACUCCUCUCGUCACCCAUGAAGCAUCUAAAGUUAAGUAUGAUGGUGCAGACCUGGAAUCCCAGAAUUCAGGAGGUGGGGGCAGGGAUUUCUAAACUCAGAAGUCAGCCUGAGCUAUCUAGAGAGAUGCUGUUUCAAAAAUUUAAAACAGCCGGGUGUGGUGGCACACGCCUUUAAUCCCAGCACUCGGGAGGCAGAGGUAGGCGGAUUUCUGAGUUCGAGGCCAGCCUGGUCUACAAAGUGAGUUCCAGGACAGCCAGGGAUAUACAGAGAAACCCUGUCUCGAAAAACCAAAAAUAAAAAAUAAAUAAAACAAAACCGAA